rnacentral:rRNA from 1 species
AACGAACGCUGGCGGCAUGCCUAACACAUGCAAGUCGAACGCUUUCAUAGGCUUCGGCCUAUGAGGGAGUGGCGCACGGGUGAGUAGCGCGUGGGAACCUGCCCUGAAGUGGGGGAUAACCGGGGGAAACUCCGGCUAAUACCGCAUGUGCCGGGGGAAACUCCGGGAAAGAUUUAUCGCUUCAGGAGGGGCCCGCGUCGGAUUAGCUAGUUGGUGGGGUAACGGCCUACCAAGGCAGUGAUCCGUAGCUGGUCUGAGAGGAUGAUCAGC